UGGGGAAUCUUGCGCAAUGGGCGAAAGCCUGACGCAGCCAUGCCGCGUGAAUGAUGAAGGUCUUAGGAUUGUAAAAUUCUUUCACCGGGGACGAUAAUGACGGUACCCGGAGAAGAAGCCCCGGCUAACUUCGUGCCAGCAGCCGCGGUAAUACGAAGGGGGCUAGCGUUGCUCGGAAUUACUGGGCGUAAAGGGCGCGUAGGCGGACAGUUUAGUCAGAGGUGAAAGCCCAGGGCUCAACCUUGGAAUUGCCUUUGAUACUGGCUGUCUUGAGUACGGGAGAGGUGUGUGGAACUCCGAGUGUAGAGGUGAAAUUCGUAGAUAUUCGGAAGAACACCAGUGGCGAAGGCGACACACUGGCCCGUUACUGACGCUGAGGCGCGAAAGCGUGGGGAGCAAACAGGAUUAGAUACCCUGGUAGUCCACGCCGUAAACGAUGAGUGCUAGUUGUCGGCAGGCAUGCCUGUCGGUGACGCAGCUAACGCAUUAAGCAC
rnacentral:rRNA from 1 species